AUUGAAAUUUGUCUUAGUGAGACAACAUCCUAUUAAGAAUACUCUAAUUCCAUAUGAACUGUUGGCCUACAGGUGAAGUAGAGGUAGGACAGAAUUACCACUCACUUUGUUUUUCUUUCAUUCAGAUGUAUUUGGAUCAAGGAGAAGUUCAUGAGAAUGGAAAAGCUACUUCAUUCUUCCCACUGAGACACUUUACAGAAAGGAGAAUGUCAUCUCCUCAUCUCACAGACACAUUUGUAUGAAGGCUUUGCUUUUCACCAACAAUGCAAAAUUGCACCUCAUCGUCACUACCACUG
rnacentral:lncRNA from 1 species